rnacentral:snRNA from 1 species
UGAGCUGAAGAGCUGAGGGACAGCGCCCAGGCCCAGAGUUCAAGCCCCACGACCGACAAAAAAAAAAGAGGAUGACCAUCCCCAAUAGAGGAGGACCGGUCUUCGGUCAAGGGUAUACGAGUAGCUGUGCUCCCCUGCUAGAACCUCCAAACAAGCUCUCAAAAUCCUACUCUGGGGUUGGGAAGGUGGCUCAGUGGUAGA